GUCAGAUAUGCGGCGAGCCUGAUCCAGCAUGCCGCGUGAGUGAUGAAGGCCUUAGGGUUGUAAAGCUCUUUUACCAGGGAUGAUAAUGACAGUACCUGGAGAAUAAGCUCCGGCUAACUCCGUGCCAGCAGCCGCGGUAAU
rnacentral:rRNA from 1 species